ACUAGCUAAGUUUGACGGACAACGUCGGAACAAGAGAUGUAAAAGUUUGCACAAAAAAGUAUGUAGUUGUUGUCUGAGACUAUCUAUUCGACAGUCUUCGCCCAGACAUUCAGUAUACAUAUCUUCUGCGAGCAACUAGAGAUAUUUCUACUCGAAGUUUAUCGGACAGUUAUUCACGUGUGUUGCUAGCUCAUUAGCCACUGAGUGUAUGUUGUUAGCGUUAGCAACGGAAAUGGACCUUUAGCCACCAUUGCUAACCCACCUAACGCUCAAGUCCAGUGCAGCGUUUUCAAGAGGAAACUUAAAGAUUCAUCAGAUACGUUUUUCCUGCGAGCUGCAACAUCGAUGGUUAAAGACGUUGGAAUAGAGAGAGCACACCAGCUUAUCCCAUUCUUCACCAGAGACCGGGAGACGGGUAAAAAGCUUCUGACAACUUCUUGCCAUCCCAUUCUUCACCAGAGAGUACAAGUGCAGACUGGACUCUGACCUUUUAACCAAGGCUGUGUCCUGUCGUGCCAUUCAUAAGUGGUAAGCUCAAGAAAGAAAGAAGGAGAGAGACACACAAAUGGCCCCACUGCAGACCUGCAGAUGUGCAGCUCUGACCGCACAGCCAGCCGGCAGCGGUCAUGUCUUAAUUAACCAGCAGACAUCUGAUCAAUAAUUGAGGAACGAUGGAGAGGGAGACGUGAAAGGUGGGACAGCCUGCACGGUUCAAGGGUUUUGUUUUCCGUUGAUGUGGAAUAACAUUAGAGAUCUAUAGCACGACUUGCCCCACAACAAACGACUCCCUACUCAGGAGAGGUGGAAAAAAUAACCCCCCUUUCUUUCUUUUCUUCAUGUCUUCCUUUACUCAAAUCUUUUCUAUCAUAAAGGAUCAUUGUGCAGGAAGGUUUUUACCCAGUUGUUUCAGUGCAAUGUGAUUUUAAGCCUUGUAAAGCCAGUUUUAUAAGCUUGUGCUCUGUAAUACUUAUUAGCUUAUUUAAGGAGACAUCUACUAAGGUCUGUUGUGGUCAUGCGUGGCAUCUAAAGCUUCCCAGGAUUUAUUUCUGCAUGAAAUGUUUACUUUUAUUGGUGUGCGUACUUUGAUUUGUACCUGCCUUGGGCACUUAAGUCUAAGGUUUAAUUACGUUUUUCUCAAUGGCUUCUCAGAGUCCGCAGGUUAUGAGCCUCAUUCUUUAAGAGACAGAGGAGGGGGGAAGAGUAAGUUGUGUCUACAUGCGUGUUGACUAGCAGGGAUAUCACUAAAUGAGAAAAGUUUAUC